rnacentral:rRNA from 1 species
AGUGAACGCUGGCGGUAGGCCUAACACAUGCAAGUCGAACGGCAGCACAGUAAGAGCUUGCUCUUACGGGUGGCGAGUGGCGGACGGGUGAGGAAUACAUCGGAAUCUACUUUUUCGUGGGGGAUAACGUAGGGAAACUUACGCUAAUACCGCAUACGACCUACGGGUGAAAGCAGGGGAUCUUCGGACCUUGCGCGAUUGAAUGAGCCGAUGUCGGAUUAGCUAGUUGGCGGGGUAAAGGCCCACCAAGGCGACGAUCCGUAGCUGGUCUGAGAGGAUGAUCAGCCACACUUGAACUGAGACACGGUCCCGACUCCUACGGGAGGCAGCAGUGGGGAAUAUUAGACAAUUGGCGCAAGCCUGAUCCAGCCCUACCGCGUGGGUGAAGAAGGCCUUCGGGUUUUAAAGCCCUUUUGUUGGGAAAGAAAAGCAGCAGGUUAAUACCCCGCUGUUCUGACGGUACCCAAAGAAUAAGCACCGGCUAACUUCGUG